CGCCCCGCAAUUGACUCGUCGCACCUGAAUCAAUUCAGGGAGCGAAGGAGGCGGUUCGCUGCUGAACAGGUGGUUCUGAGAUGUUGAUGAUGAUCUGCCAGAGAGUCAUGUCAUCCAGGUCUGGAGGGAGCACAGUCUCUGGUUGACAGGAAAGAAGAAGCAGUAAUACUGUCUUCCACUUGACUGUUUACAGCCCAUGUCUGGUGCUCCUGAAUG